rnacentral:lncRNA from 10 species
CCCAGGUUCACGCCAUUCUCCUGCCUCAGCCUCCCAAGUAGUUGGGACUACAGGCGCCCGCUACCAUGCCUGGCUAAUUUUUUUGUAAUUUUAGUAGAGUCGGGGUUUCACCAUGUUAGCCAGGAUGGUCUCGCUAUCCUGACCUCCUGAUCCACCAGCCUCGGCCUCCCCAAGUGCUGGGAUUACAGGCGUGAGCCACCGCGCCCAGCCUACAGUGCUUCUUUAAGGCUAAGAAAGCCUUCACUUCCAACAGCAGUAUCUCUUGGAAGGCCAGUUUUGAAGAAACAAAGUGGCCAUUCCCUUUUUUUUCCUUCCUGCUUCUUAUGCACUGGAAUCAUUGGGAUCUAUAGGACUGAUCAACCGCAGCAGUUUUAACAGUGGCUGUACACCAAAGUUAAUCACCAGCCUGGUUUCCAACAGCAUAGAUUUGGUUUCUCCAUGUUUGUAAAUGAAAUCAUACAGCUUGUCCUCUUUUGCGUCUGGCUUCUUUUACUGAAAGGGGAACCCAGAGGAUGGUGUCACUUGAUUCUGCCUACAAGCAUUCAGGAAGGCUUCACAAAGGAGGUGACAUUGGAGUGGGAUCUUAAAGAAGCAGUGGAAGUUUUCCAGAUAAAGAAGAAAGCAUCUCAAAUCAUCGGAAAGGGGGAAUAAUUUGGACCUGGAAAAUUUCCUGUGAGGACUCAAGGAGCACAUGGCCUGCUGAAAUCCAUGAACUACUAGACUGCCUCUAUUCACCUGAUGUCCUGCUUUUCACCCAGCCUCUUCACCGCAGCCUUUAUGAUGGAGAAUAGAGGAGGAGGAGGGACACAGAGCCUCUUCUAACUCCAGCCACAUUUACCUGGGCCUUGUUUCUAGGCAGUGGAAAGCCAGGAAGGAGAGUCAAGAAAGGUACAGAUGAGUCAUCAAUUCCCUUUGUGCUGCUAGAACAAGUGUCAGAGGGAAGCCAUGUACCUGUCUGCCCAUUGACACUCAGACAACCAUUGUACUAUAAGAAGCACUUGGCUGCCUGACAAAGAAUGGAAAAUAAACAUGGCAAGGCCAAGAUGUCCAAGAUGAGUCAACUGGGCAGUGGUGGCAGGAGAGCAACAAUGAAGAGUCCUAGCGUUUUGCACAGCUUGGUAAGCAUCUGGCCCCAGAGCUUAUUAGGAUGAGUACUGUGUCCCCGCAAACACCAGCACUCCAGCCCAGUGGAUGCCUAGAACUAUUCAUCAAGAUGAAGUGGGUUUUAUUAUUAUGGAUAUUGUUAGCCACAAAACACAAAAGAUGCAGAGGAGGAAUGAUUACUAUGUUCCUCUUUUAUGAUAUUCAAUGGUUUGAGUCAUGAUAAGGAGGUCAUCAGGAUGAGAGUGGGUAUCUCCCACCCCUUUCCUUUCUUUUGUAACAGAAUAUUGAAUUGAACCCUGCAGUAUGCUGGGCCCCAGGGAUGCAGAGAUGACGCACUGCAUGCCCUGCCUUGGAGAAGAAGUCAAGUGGUGAAACCAGGCAAGUGCCAUGCCAUUAGAGUGCCCUGUGGUCAAGAUGUACUCCAAAAGGAUCUGAGACUAAAUAUCAGUGUGUGAGCAGCUCUACUUCCUACUGGAGGCACAAGCUGGUUCCUAAAGGAUGACAAGGCACUUGCCCAGGGCAAAGGCCUUGAAAUAGGUGGCCAGCAAGUGACAACUGGGUCAUGGCAACCCAAAUGUGUCCAGAUGCCAGGAGAGGCUUAGUCAAAUACAAGUCGGCAUACAAAUUGAGUGUCCUCUUUGAAGCUUAGAGCAGUUGAGCAGUUAGGGUAAAUCUUCUUAACUUGAGGCAUGCAAGGCCCUACAGAUCCCCUCUCCUCGCAUCUGGCUCCAGUCACCCUUUCCAACCUCAUUGCCAUUACUGGCUCCUAUCCUACCCUCUACCCACUUCACUAAACACACCCUGUAUUUUCCUGCCUUUGUGCCUUUCCAGGUACAGUCUGAUCACCCAGAGUCCUCUUCUCCAUCUCUGCCUCUGGUAGAGUCCAGUCAAUCAAUUAAGGUCAAAUUCCUCCUCCAAUAGACCCGACCCUUGGGGCAUAUCCACCAUCUCUACCCACAUGCCACCAGAAAGAAUCAAUCUCUCCUUCCCUUUUGUGCCCAGAACACUUAGUACCUCUGUUAAGAACUUGACACAACCUGCCUUGUGUAGCCAAAUGGUUAAGAACACAAGCUGUGGUUUCAAGAGAGCAGACUUAGAAACACCACCUGUGUGACCUCGGGUAAAUUUACUAACCAUUCGAGCCCUCAGUGUCAUGAUCUGUAUAAUGAGAAUGAUAAUAGUGUCUACUUACUGGAGUUAUUUUUAGGAUUAUAUGAGAUAAUGCAUCUAAAGCAUAGUGCCUGACACAUAAUAAGCAUUCAAUAAAUUGUAGCUCAUUUUGUUAUAUGGCCAUGUUGUCCCCAA